rnacentral:rRNA from 1 species
AUCGAACGCUGGCGGCGUGCUUAACACAUGCAAGUCGAGCGGUAACAGGCGUAGCAAUACGUGCUGACGAGCGGCGUACGGGUGCGUAAUACAUGGGAAUCUGCCCUUUGGUGGGGAAUAACCCGGCGAAAGCCGGGCUAAUGCCGCAUGAGACCUUCGGAUGAAAGCGGGGGAUCGUAAGACCUCGCGCCGAUGGAUGAGCCCAUGUCGGAUUAGCUAGUUGGUGAGGUAACGGCUCACCAAGGCGACGAUCCGUAGCUGGUCUGAGAGGACGGCCAGCCACACUGGGACUGAGACACGGCCCAGACUCCUACGGGAGGAAGCAGUGGGGAAUAUUGGACAAUGGGCGAAAGCCUGAUCCAGCGACGCCGCGUGUGUGAAGAAGGCCUGCGGGUUGUAAAGCACUUUCGAUGGGAACGAAAUGUGCCGGGCUAAUACCCCGGCAAGCUGACGUUACUCAAUGAAGAAGCACCGGCUAACUCUGCGCCAGCCGCCGCGGUAAAAC